UUAGUUACAUGUGUCUAACGGGACUGCCGGCUCGAACUGGGAGGAAGGUGGGGACGACGUCAAGUCAGCAUGGCCUUUAUAUCCUGGGCUACACACACGCUACAAUGGUCGGUACAAUGGGUCGCCAAGCCGCGAGGCGGAGCCAAUCCUCCAAAACCGGCCUCAGUUCAGAUUGUAGGCUGCAACUCGCCUGCAUGAAGUUGGAGUUGCUAGUAACCGCGCGUCAGCUAUAGUGCGGUGAAUACGUUCCCGGGGCUU
rnacentral:rRNA from 1 species